AACGAACGCUGGCGGCAUGCCUAACACAUGCAAGUCGAACGAGACCUUCGGGUCUAGUGGCGCACGGGUGCGUAACGCGUGGGAAUCUGCCCUUGGUUCGGAAUAACAGUUAGAAAUGACUGCUAAUACCGGAUGAUGACGAAAGUCCAAAGAUUUAUCGCCGAGGGAUGAGCCCGCGUAGGAUUAGCUAGUUGGUGAGGUAAAGGCUCACCAAGGCGACGAUCCUUAGCUGGUCUGAGAGGAUGAUCAGCCACACUGGGACUGAGACACGGCCCAGACUCCUACGGGAGGCAGCAGUGGGGAAUAUUGGACAAUGGGCGAAAGCCUGAUCCAGCAAUGCCGCGUGAGUGAUGAAGGCCUUAGGGUCGUAAAGCUCUUUUACCAGGGAGUGAUAAUGACAGUACCUGGAGAAUAAGCUCCGGCUAACUCCGUGCCAGCAGCCGCGGUAAU
rnacentral:rRNA from 1 species